AUGCUCAUUUCAGCAGCACACAUACUAAAACUGGAAUGAUACAGAGAUUAGCAUGGUCCCUGCACAAGGAUGACAUGCAAAUUUGUGAAGUGUUCCAUAUUAAA
ensembl:snRNA U6 U6 spliceosomal RNA